CAGACAGCAUCACCUUGGCCGGGGUGUCGUCAUUGGCUGCCUAUUAGAAAAACUACAGCACAAUGCAUACCACCCCUGCUGACUGUAAACAUAGGGGAUAUGUGUUCACUUAGCAUGGACUUCUGGGAGGGGCCAAGGAAGGGCGGUCUGCAGUUUUAUUGAAUAGAGCAGUGUGCAUUAGGCGGUCUGCCUGCCUGGCUGCUUGCUCUCUUGCUGUGUUGCUUAAAGGGACCUCUGCUUCCUUUCUGACGGCGGCGGGCUCAACGUCCUCCUCCUUGGGAAGAAGCUGCUGCCUGAGAGAUAAUCAAUAACAGAUUUCAAGAUCAUCCAAUUCAACCCACAAGAGUUGGUGUUCAAAGACUCAGAAGUAGGCAUCUGACUGCUUCCCUAUCCAGAUACUAUCUGGGCUCCCUAAACUUGCAACCUCACUAUGGAUGAUUUUGAGCGUCGCAGGGAACUGAGGAGGCAAAAGAGGGAAGAGAUGCGGCUGGAAGCAGAGAGAAUCGCCUAUCAGAGGAAUGAUGAUGACGAAGAAGAGGCCGCCAGGGAACGGCGCCGCCGAGCCCGGCAGGAAAGGCUGCGUCAGAAGCAGGAGGAAGAGUCCUUGGGACAGGUGACAGACCAGGUGGAAGCCCAUGCCCAGAACAGUGUCCCUGAUGAAGAGUCUAAGCCAGCCACCACGAACACUCAGGUAGAAGGUGAUGAGGAGGCUGCCUUACUGGAGCGCCUGGCUAGGCGAGAAGAGAGACGUCAAAAACGCCUCCAGGAAGCCCUCGAGCGUCAGAAGGAGCUUGAUCCAACUAUCACAGAUGCCAGUCUGUCUGUCCCAAGCAGAAGAAUGCAAAAUGACACGGCAGAAAAUGAAACAGCAGAGAAGGAAGAAAAAAGAGAGAGUCGCCCAGGACGAUAUGAGGUGGAGGAAACAGAAGUAGUCACCAAGUCCUACCAGAAGAACAGCUAUCAGGAUGCUGAAGACAAAAAGAAAGAAGAACAGGAGGAGGAGGAAGAGAAGCUGAAGGGAGGGAGCCUUGGCGAAAAUCAGAUCAAAGAUGAGAAGAUUAAAAAGGACAAAGAACCCAAAGAAGAAGUCAAGAGCUUCUUGGAUCGAAAGAAAGGAUUUACUGAAGUGAAAGCGCAGAAUGGAGAAUUCAUGACUCACAAACUUAAACAAACUGAGAAUGCUUUCAGCCCCAGCCGCCCAGGAGGCCGGGCCAGUGGGGACAAGGAAGCUGAAGGUACCCCACAAGUGGAAGCUGGCAAGAGGCUGGAGGAGCUGCGCCGGCGCCGCGGGGAGACUGAGAGCGAAGAGUUUGAAAAACUCAAACAAAAACAACAGGAGGCAGCCUUGGAGCUGGAAGAGCUGAAGAAAAAGAGGGAAGAGAGAAGGAAGGUCCUGGAGGAAGAGGAGCAGAAAAGGAAGCAGGAGGAAGCUGAUCGCAAAGCUAGAGAGGAGGAAGAGAAGAGGAGGCUAAAGGAAGAGAUUGAAAAGAGAAGGGCAGAAGCUGCUGAGAAACGCCAGAAGAUGCCAGAAGAUGGCUUGUCCGAGGACAAGAAGCCAUUCAAGUGUUUCACUCCUAAAGGCUCUUCUCUCAAGAUAGAGGAACGAGCAGAAUUUUUGAAUAAGUCUGUGCAGAAAAGUGGUGUCAAAUCUACUCAUCAAGCAGCAGUAGUCUCCAAGAUUGACAGCAGGCUGGAGCAGUAUACCAACGCAAUUGAGGGAACAAAAGCUUCAAAACCUACUAAGCCUGCAGCAUCGGAUCUUCCUGUUCCUGCUGAAGGUGUCCGCAAUAUCAAGAGCAUGUGGGAAAGAGGGAAUGUGUUUUCAUCCCCCUCGGCCUCGGGAACACCAAAUAAGGAAACCGCUGGUCUGAAGGUGGGAGUUUCCAGCCGGAUCAAUGAAUGGCUAACUAAAUCACCAGAUGGCAACAAGUCCCCUGCUCCAAAGCCUUCUAAUGAUGUCUUUCUCAGCUGGCUUCUCUUCUUCACUCUUUCGUCUCUGAUUGACUGGAAACCUGCCUUUCCUGCCUUCAUUUCUCCCUCUUCUCCCAGAGUGGGUCUUUCUCUAACAUAUAGGCUGGUCAGGACUUGAGGCCAGGGGAUGUAUCUGGCAAGCGAAACCUCUGGGAAAAGCAAUCCGUGGACAAGGUCACUUCCCCCACUAAGCAGGUUUGAAACAAUCGGAGAAAGAACCCAACUGCAAGACGUCUUGCUGGGCCAGCUCAGUUGUAGGGGGCUAAUUGCUCUGUUUAUAUUUAUGUUGAUUUACUAAAUUGGGUUCAUUUUCCUUUUUUUUAUUUUCCAAUAUCCCAGUAAACCCAUGUAUAUGCUCACCAUAUUUAAUAAUCACAACUAGAGAUGUUCAUGGUCAAAGUACUGCUUUUGCAGAAGAGCCUGUUUCUAAAGAAACUCAUGCUGUGAAAUAGACUCGCUACUGUCUACUGUCAUCUGUACAGUGACACCAACCACAUUGGAAGUCAACAAAAGGAAUUCGAGGUUAAGAUUAUCUGAGGAAUGUAUGCAGUAUCUAGUGGGGGAAAUGAACCAUAGGUUUUGUUUUGUUUCAAUAAAGACAUCAUGUUUCUGCACUUUAGACUAAAGCAUGGAAGAAAUUAUCAAAGAAGGCAAUCGAAAAUAUCCGAAAGUAACCCAUUUCAGAUCUGAUAUGGAGCAAUAAUGAUUGUCUUUUUUUAAAAAAAAAAGAUAUACUGUUGAGAUAUUGCUUUUUUAUGUGCUGAUUCAUAGACCUAAUUGGAUGAUUAUUUUAGCUGACAGUGGUACUGAUUUUUUUUUUCAGGUUGAUUGCUUUGUGGAUUUCUUUGGUAGUGAUAGUAGCCUGAACCACAUUUAGAUAACACAACUAUGUAAUGUAUGUGCAUACAUGUAUACAAACACACUAAUGGUAGACUGCUCUUAAAUGUGCUAGACUAUUAUAUUUAGUAGUAUGUCCUUGUAACUAACCAAUAUCACAGCUUUUGGAGGUUAAAAUCACAAUAUUAUAUUAAUAUUUCAUAUUUGCCAGUAGAAACAUGGAAGUUAGGUAUAGCUAUGUUCUCAAUGCCCGAUGACUUAUAAGAAAAAAGUAUUUGAAAAAAGAGAUUAGAAGUGUCAAAAUCAGUUAAAAUUUCUUAUAAGACAUAGUAUUUAGUUUAUAAUUGAGGGCAGUCUUGAAGUCCAGUGUGAAUUUUAUUAAGUCUACCAUCUGGACCAAGCUCAAAGCCUACUUAUUUGUUAACAGUGAAGUUCCCCAAAAAGUGACCUACAUGAUAUCUAAGGUUUCUUCUUUCUCUACUUAAAGCCAAGCAUUUUGGUGACAGUAUUGCACAAACCAGAAUUCGUGUAGAUGCCUAAACAAAGACCAACUUUACCUCGUGUAGAAGCAGACAGGUAAAGUGAGCAAAGGCAUGGCAGGGCUUCUAUCUUUAUGUACUCAGACUUUUUAAAUUAAAAUUUUAUGUCUUUAUUAGUCAGUUGGUACUGUCCUAAGUUGAUAAUAGCUUUAAAUUUCAAAACUAUAUGUAAAUUUUAAUAGUGUUACUUUCCCCCUCAGGGGUCUUUAGGAACUCCACCAUUAAGACAUCAUGUCUUCAUUCUUCCUAGUAGAUAAUGAAAAGUACUCCAGCAUCUUACAAAAUGUUCUUAUAUAGGCCAUUCUAUGCAUACAGUGUCAUUGUACAAACUCAUACCUCAGCUGACUUAACCCAAAUUAUCUUAGUCUCCAUUCCUUCUGCAUUGGGAGAGCCUCCAAAAUAACCAUUUCUAAUCCACAUAUUUCCCUUCAAGAGAGAAAGGUUGGCUUGAGGGGUAACUGCUGCCUUGAAAACUCUGUUCUUCUCAUGAAUUAGUAAGAGUUAGUUGGGUUCCUUAGCUUUUAGCAAACUUGGGCCAAAGGAAGGAAAGCCACUAAGACUACACAAGUCAUCUACCCAUGACAGAGUAGACAUAAGUCUAUGACAAGAUAAACUAGAAUGCACAGGGUGCACGUGGAAAUGACUUCCAUCAUUGGAGUAAAAUGGAUCAAAGUUCAAUUUAAGGCUGAUGGUGAGGGAACAUGUGUUAGAGCUUUGAACAAAGGUCUUCUGACAGCUAUUAUCUAGGUUUUUUUUGGUUUUUUUGUUGCUUUUAAGAAAGUUCAAAGUUGUGAAAGAAUGUCUUGAUCCUAAAUUUUAUUCCAAUAUUUGGAUGACAUGAGUUUUAGGGUAGAAUUUUGUUCUGUUUGGAUUUCAUCUUUGGGAAAGCAAAUUCCUCAUUUACUUGUUCAAUUACAGCUCUCUGUUAUCUUUAAGAGAGGAAACUGCACGUUGAAUAGCGUGUUCUGUGAAUCUGCCAUUGUUAAAAACAUUAUAAACACUUGGUAUUUUUCACUGAUGACUGAUCGCUGCAAUAAAAAUAUAUUGUGAAAUGCAUCCACAAUAAAUGGAAUUCUUCCAAAUA